rnacentral:misc_RNA from 1 species
AUCUUAGUUUUAAUUAGGGUGUACGGCUCUAAUUCCAAUGCAAGGUCUACCUAGGAACCAUAAACAAACCAAAAUUUAGGUAUCGUUCUAGUCUGGCUCUUAGUAGUUUCGAUUCCAGUCCGAUAUGUGUUCAAUUCUUGAAAUAAUUUUAUAUAAAUAAAAAUUCAUACUUCAAUUAGCAUUUAAGUUUUAAAAUAGGCUAUCAAUACAUACUCUAUUAUAUAAUAUAUCUUUUAGCUUUUCUAAAUUAUAUAAUAUUUAAUUAUAAGUUGCGUAUAUAGUUUAGGAUUAAGUAUAUUAUAUAA